UUAUUGGAGAGUUUGAUCCUGGCUCAGGACGAACGCUGGCGGCGUGCCUAAUACAUGCAAGUCGAGCGAAUCUGAGGGAGCUUGCUCCCAAAGAUUAGCGGCGGACGGGUGAGUAACACGUGGGCAACCUGCCUGUAAGACUGGGAUAACUCCGGGAAACCGGGGCUAAUACCGGAUAAUAUCUAUUUAUACAUAUAAUUAGAUUGAAAGAUGGUUCUGCUAUCACUUACAGAUGGGCCCGCGGCGCAUUAGCUAGUUGGUGAGGUAACGGCUCACCAAGGCGACGAUGCGUAGCCGACCUGAGAGGGUGAUCGGCCACACUGGGACUGAGAUACGGCCCAGACUCCUACGGGAGGCAGCAGUAGGGAAUCUUCCGCAAUGGACGAAAGUCUGACGGAGCAACGCCGCGUGAGUGAUGAAGGUUUUCGGAUCGUAAAACUCUGUUGUUAGGGAAGAACAAGUACCGGAGUAACUGCCGGUACCUUGACGGUACCUAACCAGAAAGCCACGGCUAACUACGUGCCAGCAGCCGCGGUAAUACGUAGGUGGCAAGCGUUGUCCGGAAUUAUUGGGCGUAAAGCG
rnacentral:rRNA from 1 species